GCCGUGUUAGGAUUUCUGCUUUCAAUCUGUCAAUCUUGUGCUUGGCUGAGAGGCAAAUCAUCAUAUGCUUUUUGGGAUUCUCCACUGAGGCAAGGGGCUAAUAAUCCUGCCCACUUACCUGGAGGCCAUCCUUCUCGGGUAGCAAUCCUUUCAAAGGUUGUCAGGUAAGCCUCCAUGUCAUCAACCUCACUCACUUUAUGUAAAAAGUCAGUAACUCUAAUCCGGCGCCCCCUAUCCAUAGUAGGGGUAGUCACGCUUGACAGUAUGGUUUGUUGCAAAGCACUUGUUAGCUUUACUCUGUCUUCCCGCUGUAUUUCCAUAAUGCAGUCUAUUUGUAUGGCCAAUAAGCGGUUUGUCUCC